AGAAUAAUAAUUUAUCUUCCGAGAGGUAAAAAAUGAGUAGAAAUCAGUUGUAUAGGUGUGGUAAGCAAGGUUUUCUGUAACCACAAGGACAAAGGUUCAGAUCCUCGUAAACAAAGGUUCAAAUUUGUGGGGGCACUUGCUCCCUCAGCAUUAGCCGGCUCCGCCCCCGCCCCUGCUAACAUUCCUUUUUCUUCUUUUCUUAAAAAUCUUGAUUUUGAUUGUGAAAAGUUUGAGAAAAAGAACGGAACAAAGAAAAUAAGGGGGAAAAAAAUGAAGGUCGAUAAUCUAACUAGUAACCAGUAAAGAGACGAAGUUCCCAAUUCAUAAGAAGUUUUCAGAAUAUGCUUUCUCAUUAUCCUCUUUCUUUCAUGUUUCAUACUUACCAGAUUCCAGCGCUGAAAUUUCAUGGGUUUUCCUGUUUUUCUGGUUUGCUAUUAAUGUCAAAGUUCGAACUUCAAUUUGCUUGGAGAGGAAUAGCAGAUAUUUUAUUGAUAUUCAACAAGUGUGGUAUGGAAAUAUUUUUACAUAGUGAUAUUCUUCAACUGGAACAUUGUUAUUGCCAUCAAUCAUAUUAUGCUUCACAUCCUCUUCCUCCUUUAUGUUUCUAUACCAGCUUUUUACAUGGUGUAGUGACCCAAAUCAAGCAAAUGCCCCUUUACCAACAUUUUCUCUUUCAACUUUGGAUGAAGAAUGUGAAAGAAAUACUGGGUGCUCUGCUAGAGUGGGAUCCAGCCCUGUCAAUGGUGGGAUUGGGGUGAGGAUUAUCAAAGAAUUGAACAAGCUAGAGUGCAGAAUGCUAGGACUAAUUGGGUCAAAUGCACACACACCUUGAUUAGCCCCAUUUCGGUGCCACAUAGGACAAUGUCAUUGGCAGUGAGGAGGCUUGUUAUUCUGCUGCCUGCUGAUAACCUCCCUGCUUUCUGCUGUGUCCCCCUCAACCAUAUCU